UUGGCCACUGUCAGAAGACAGGAUACUGGGCUAGAUGGACCUUUGGUCUGACCCAGUAUGGCCAAUCUUAUGACAGGUAACCAGAGGCAAAGUCAGUAUAAGAAUUCAGGAGCCAGCCCCGUGUUCAGUCCACUAAACAAGGUUGUCUCUUCCAGUGGUCUGAUGGCUUCUCCAGAGACCAGCUACUAAAGGGUGCUUAUCAACCUCUUUCCCUCUGCUUCAAAGCUAAGCUGGAAGGGCAUUUGUACAGCACCUAGCACAAUGGGACUCUGAUCACUAAGUGCUACUAUAAUACAAAUAGUAAGAGGGCUGCAGCAGUGUCUGCAGAGCAGCUCCUUAGUUACUCCACAGCUUGGAAGAAGGAUUCCCCUUCCCAGACACAUGUCCUGAGCUACUGUACUUGGGUACUUCUGAGUGGCUUUGCCCCCUAGUAGUAUUUUAACAGACCCUAACUUGCCACCCUGGCAAGUCAUCCUAGUACAGAUUCCCUCAUAAAUACCAAGGCCCAGGGCCAGUUUCUUUUUUUUUGAUGUAAUCUUUGUGUUUUGAGAAUCCUCUAAAAUGCAGUAAAUUUGCACCUGGUAUUUCACAGUUCUUCAGGGUACCCCCUAAACUGUCCUUUUUCUUAGUGCGUCUCUCAGCAUCCCACAAACUCUCCCUUUGGCUUGGCUACAGGCCCGGUCCUGGCCAGUUUACAGACUGAGCGACCGCAUUCUGCCCCCUCAAACGCCCUCUGCAGUUUCAGCUGGGUACUGUGUGCUGCACCUUGCGGCCCGCAACAGUUGUGUGUGGUUGCGAGGCACCUUUAAAGCAGCUGCCAUGUUCCACCUCAGUGGCAGCUGCAUUUCCUUGGCAUUUCCUUGUGACUUCUGUGUGCUUGUUGUUGAGCCCUCUGCAGGGAGAGCAGCUAGAUAAAUAACGUGCUAAUAUCUGGGCUGCCACACGUGACUUCUUUCUUCAAAAUAUGACAAAUGGGAUGCCCUAGUAUGAGCACUUAAGGCCGAGUCCUGAAACCCCUACUCAUGCAUGCAAUUUCAUGGCCUCCAGUGGGUCUGUUGCAGGACAGAGCUCUUCAUAAUGGUGGCACGUUAGCACAAACCUUGCUCAUAAUAAGCACUUGAUCUGGGCACCCAUCCCUGAAAAGUUUGGAUGCUGCCUCUGAGACUGUCUGUUCAGGUCACUAGCAUAGUGAAGAACCUUUCAUCUUAAUGUCUUCACAGCUGGGUCUGGACAAAGAGCUGGACGGGACCAGUCAGAGAGUGCUUGUUGGUUUAAAUUUUAGUUGCUGGAGGAUGUUUUGCACUAAAUGGGACUACCGAUUCCCUUCUGUAGACUGCCAGGGCCCUUCCAGGUUCUGGGAAUGGAGACCUUUGUAUUGUUGGCAAAGGAAUAAGGGGGUUUCUUUUUUGAACUUUCACUCACUGACCACCUUCUCUUUCAGCUGAACUGAGCAAGCCAGUGUGGGAAGGGAUUCCAGGGUCCGCACUGGGGCCACAGCCAGAACCCAGCUAUCCUUCUGCUGUCUGUGCGCACCAGAAGCAGCAGCGCUGGAAACCGGAAUCCUGUGUCCUGGAGCAGAGCCAGCAGCAGCUGCUGGCAGUAACGGGAGCUUUCCCACACUUGACACCUUCACUGCCCUCAUCCUCCUAUGGGGAAGGAAAAUGUAAUCGCCGACCAUAUGAGUGAACCCAGGACUGGAAACAGCAUCUCUGCUUGGCAUUCGCAGGCUGAGUUUCUCAGUCUUGUACGUACAAACAAGCAUUACUGUAAGUUCUCUU